rnacentral:snRNA from 1 species
UUGAGGACGAGAAUUGUG